rnacentral:rRNA from 1 species
UAUCAGGCACACUGGGACUGAGACACGUCCAGACUCCUACGGGAGGCAGCAGUGGGGAUUUCGCAAUGGCGAAGCUGACGAGCACGCGCGGAGGGAGAGGCUCUGGGUGUAACCUCUUUUCUCAAGGAAGAUAAUGACGGUACUGAGGAAUCAGCAUCGGCUAACUCCGUGCCAGCAGCCGCGGUAAUACGGAGGAUGCAAGCGUUAUCCGGAAUAAUUGGGCGUAAAGCGUUCGUAGGUGGUGAUGUAAGUCUGCUGUUAAAGCGUGUAGCUUAACUACAUAUAGGCGGUGGAAACUACAUGACUAGAGUGCGUUCGGGGCAGAGGGAAUUCCUGGUGUAGCGGUGAAAUGCGUAGAUAUCAGGAAGAACACCGGUGGCGAAGGCGCUCUGCUAGGCCGUAACUGACACUGAGGGACGAAAGCUAGGGGAGCGAAUGGGAUUAGAUACCCCAGUAGUCCUAGCUGUAAACGAUGGAUACUAGGCGUUGUCUGUAUCGACCCGGACAGUGCCGUAGCUAACGCGUUAAGUAUCCCGCCUGGGGAGUACGCACGCAAGUGUGAAACUCAAAGGGAUUGACGGGGGCCCGCACAAGCGGUGGAGUAUGUGGUUUAAUUCGAUGCAACGCGAAGAACCUUACCAAGGCUUGACAUGUCCGGAAUUUCUUGGAAACGAGAAAGUGCCUUCGGGAACCGGAACACAGGUGGUGCAUGGCUGUCGUCAGCUCGUGUCGUGAGAUGUUGGGUUAAGUCCCGCAACGAGCGCAACCCUCGUUUUUAGUUGCCAGCACUUCGGGUGGGCACUCUAGAGAGACUGCCGGUGACAAACCGGAGGAAGGUGGGGAUGACGUCAAGUCAUCAUGCCCCUUACGUCUUGGGCUACACACGUACUACAAUGCUAUGGACAAAGAGCAGCCAACCAGCGAUGGUGCGCUAAUCUCAUAAACCAUGGCUCAGUUCAGAUCGCAGGCUGCAACUCGCCUGCGUGAAGUAGGAAUCGCUAGUAAUUGCAGGUCAGCAUACUGCAGUGAAUUCGUUCCCGGGCCUUGUACACACCGCCCGUCACACCAUGGAAGUUGGUCAUGCCCGAAGUCGUUAUUCCAACCGAA